UUCUCCCUCCCGUUUCAACUUGGGGCACGCGCUUGGCGGGAGGGUGCAAGGGACUGUUACCGCAGGGCUUCACGGGAAUUGUAGUUCUUCUCUUUCUCUGAGCUCUGUGGAGACUGCCGGAAAGACUACGACACCCAGCAGCUCCGCGCUCUCCCUUUCCUCAAAUAAAAAAGAUAUGCCUGCAGGCUGUUCCCUACGGACACACCCUGUCCCUGCUUUGCUGCGCAGUGUGGCCAUGGAAUUAAAUUAAUUUAAAGCAGGACUAAUGCAGUAAGGGGAUCACUGGUAUCCAUUUAAUGCUUUACAGUUUGCGAAUCGUGUUCUAUCUCUUCAACCAUCUUGUGAGGCCACACUCCCUAUUCUCAGGGUAUCUUGAGUAGAAGAACACAACCAGCUGAGCCUGUCCUACUGAGGUGACUUCAGAGGAAGUGACAUGGUACCAGAGUAGCAGCUGUCUUUGACAGGACCUCUCCAGAGUACAGAAGUUACCAAGUUCCCAACUCAUGGAGUAGCCAAGGGAUGUUGGGGAACCUCAACUCCUAAGGUGACCCUGGUCACUGGUGACUUGAGAUGAGAAAUCUACUUUGAGAAAACGGUAACCUGGUUCAAGUUAAUAAAAAUACUCUCAGUACUCAGAAUAAUUAUGGAGAUAUGAAGAACAAUUCUUUCUCCCUGCAACUGCAUAAAACUGUUGGAGUUCACUACACUGAAUAAACAGUCCAAUGCUGUAGCAGUGCUCAGCAGGAGAACAUAUUCCAAAUUUAUCUAUUUCUCUCUUGCCUUCCCAUUCCAGGGUAUAACCGUGAGUUAGGGAGGGGAAGGAUCAGGCCUGUGCAGUUUGAUAAAAAGUGACCUUCAUGCACACUUUGAGACCCACUGCAUCUAAGAUAGUGAGUUUUGAGUACCCAAGGGCCCCCAUUCUCUUCAUUCAGUGUUUUUCUCCCAUUAUACCAGAGAAGCUCAAGGUUUAAGUAAAUAACUUCUUGAUCCAGAACCCUAGAGCCAGCGUAUAAACUUGGAGCCAGUACAUAAACCUGGAGCCUGUGCUGGUGCUGCUUCUUUUUUUUUUUUUUUUUUUAAGAUUUUAUUUAUUUAUUUGACAGAGAGAGAGAGAGAGAGACCACAAGUAGGCAGAGAGGCAGGCAAAGAAAGAAGGGGGAAGCAGACUCCCCACUGAGCAGAGAGGGCGAUGAGGUGCUGGAUCCCAGGACCCUGAGACCAUGACCUGAGCCGAAGGUAGAGGCUUAACCCACUGAACCACCCAGGCGCCCGGAGCCUGUGCUUCUCUAUACAGUCAUCUUUCCCAUUGUUCCAGGCUGCUUCAUGCUCAUUCAUGAUAUAAGACUCGACAGAGAGGCUUCUAUUAUGUUUAGUCCACUAUGAUGGAACUACAAGAUAAUAUAUAUGUGUAUAUAUUUAUAUGUAUGCAUGUAUAUAUAUCAAGGUCUUUCACUUUAUUAGUGUUUUAAAUCUAGUUAGGAACACAGGAUAUAUCCUUAAAAAGAUUCAAAAGUUUUAAACACAAAGGAGCAUGUGCUUAGUGUCAAAUGAGUGAUUUAGAACAGUAUUUACAAGUAAUUUCUUGCUAAUAAUGAAGCCAAUUUUGUAGAUGAUUUGCCUUUAUAAAAUAAAUUCUAGCGGAUUAUAAGGAUAAUAAAGAUAUUCACAUUUCUAUAUGCUUUUUAAGCUGGGGAGAUAGGGGUUGAAUUAUAUCCAGCUAGCCAGAAAUGAUAAAUUGUACAUAACAGUAAGUCAUUUCACACGUAACUUUACUAAGUGUUUCUAUGGGGAUAUGAAGGAAAGGCUGAGAACUGUUCAUUUAUACACAGAACUUUGGAAUUUCCCAAUACAUGCCGUUAUUGAAGUCUAGUGAUUUUGGAAAUUUUUGUAAAGAAAAUGAGAGCAGAAUUGCAUUUUUUUGGACUAUAGGAUUUAAACAGACUAUAAAGAGAUUAUGGGGAGUGGGAGGAAGGGCUCGCUCUAGGCCCUAGAAGUGUCAAGUAACUAUGAUUUAGAGCAAGGGAAACUAACAUUGGAUAAAUAGUUGUCAUAUGACAAGGAGUUUGUUAGGUAGUUGGCAUGUAUCAUAUCAUCUAAUACUCAGAACCUGAGACAACUGAGAUUACUUUCAGGGUUUCCCAGAUAGGAAACUGAUCUCGGGAGAGAAAAAGUAAAGUGCCCCAAGGUCAACCAAUUAGGAAGUGAGGUAGAUUAAAUAUGGCCGCAAAUUAUUUUCAGCUCCUGUCACCAAGACCACCAUACAUCUGGGAGUUGAAAGGCCAAAUGGAAGGCACCCAAGCAAAGCCAGACAUGUAAGUGAGGUCAUGACAAGCCUUCUAGCCCCAUAGACUCUCCAGCUGAAUGCAGCCCUGUGAGUGAGCUCAGGUAAAACCAGCAGAGGAACUGCCCAACUGACCCACAUAAACGUGAGAAGUAGUAAAUUGCUGUUGUUCCAACUUCUGUGUUAUGAAGUAAUUGCUACAUAGCCCUAGAUAACUGAAACAGCCAAGCUUUGACUUUAGGUCUUCCUUGUUCCAGUGCUGGUAUUCUUUCCAUGACACAUACUACCACUUUGUUAUUGAUAACAUAGGAGUAUUUGAUAAGGUAUCUAUAAGGCUCCUUUGAAUUCUUAAUAGAAUGAUAUUCUAGAUACAUGGAGUUGGAAAAUCCAAGGUGUAUUUGGAUUACAGGAGGAAACCAGUUUAAGUAAGAAAGCUAUUGUUAAAGAGGUAGUAGAAAGAAAUCUUAUAGUAUAGUGAUUAAGAGCAAAAACUAGUUUUGAAUCCUAGGUCCACCACUCAAUAGCUUUGGGCAAGUCAGAGAACCUCCCUGUGUCUUGGAAUUUCCAUUCUGAAAAGAUAAUGAAAAUAGAACCUUCUUCCUAGGGUUGUUUUAAGAAUUAAAUGAGAUAAUGCAAGUACUAACUUAGAACAGGUACUGACUCACAGUGAGCUCUCAAAUAUGUGGACACCAAGUAGAUAGACUAAGGAAGACACCACAGGCAGAGAGUCCAGCCUGUCCUUAAGGUAAGAGCGACGUCAAAAAGGCAGUGUUUGAGUCUGGUGAUGAUGCUUGCCUGGCAAUAGCAGGACCCUUCUAAACAUUUAAGAAUCUUGGAAACUUUUGUGGAUAGACUGCUGAUUUUUUUUUUAUCUCCAUGUUCGAAGCCAAGAAAUUUUUAUUAUAACAAUAGCUAGUAUAAGGACUUCUUUUAACAUAAGUCUUUAACAUAUACAUAUGUUCAACUAUAAAGUAUUCACAUCUUUUUGUCUAUCUGAUCACUACUAUGCAAGGAAUUAGGAAUCAUGGAGUCAGAGUUCAUUCAUUCAGUAAAUAUUUAUGCAGCAUUUGCCAUGUGCUAGGCUCUUCGCUGUGUCCUGGGGAAAAUAAUAGUACAGGGAAAUCACAAUGGUUUUUGCAAUCAUAGAAAUUACAGUGGAUUGGAGAAUUUGAGACAAAGUAAGGAGGCAGUUACUGUCCAGGGGGAUGAAUGUUUUGUUGGGGAAAGCUUGAGAUCCAGUGGGUACUUGUAGGAGGUCCUACUGACCCAGACUGAGAAAAGAGACCAAAUAAAAUAUAUUUCACUCCCUGAAAUGAAGUGAUCUAAAUGGUUAGCUGAGAGAUAAGUAGAAGUUAGCUAAGAUGAUGCCUGAAAAUUUGCCCCAAGUCGAGUUUGCUUAAAUGGUGUAUUCACUUGGAGGAAUAGUGUAGGGAAUACUGUGUAGUUGGGGGAGGUGAAGGGUUCCCUCUGGAAUUGGAAUUUUAUUCCUGACAGUUAAGGAUAAGACAGCAGCAGCUGACUGGGACCUAGAGGUGACUGAACAGUGAUAUAAUAAAACUGACCUAGAGAAAGCAUUUGAAUAGGUGACCCAGAGGGACAAAAGAAUGGAAAAAGGGUGAGAUUAAAGGAUAGCUCGUAUUUCAGGUUGUAAAUGUUCAGAUAAACAAAGGGUGGUAUUAAUGGGAAAAACAAGUGUCAGAUGACAUGAAGUCUGAUCUUGGUUUGGCCUUUUAGUAUAUGGUGUUAGUUAGAAAUAUUUCCUCUCUGAGACUGAUUUCUCCAUCUCCAGCCUGUAUGUAUUAGACUACAGUUGACUCGAACAACACAGGUUUGAACAAGCACGGGUCCAACUUGUAUGCAGAUUUUCUUCAGUAAAUAUAGUACAAUACUAUAAAUGUAUUUUUUCUUCCUUACAAUUUUUUAAAUAAUACAUUUUUUCUUUUCUGUAGCUUACUUUAUUGUAAGAAUACAUGAAUAAUACAUAUAACGUAAUAAAAAUGUGUCAAUCGACUGCUUAUGUUAUCAGUAAGGCUUCUGGUUGACAGUGGGCUUUAGUAGUUAGGUUUUGGGGAAGUCGAAGUUACACUCAGAUUAUUGACUGGGUAAGGUGUCAGUGCCCCUAACCCCUACAUUGUCCAAGAGUCAACGGUAUUUGAAAGGAAAGACAAGAAAGGAAUGAAUGCUACAGAACAGAAAGUGAAAGUGGUCGGACUAGCUGAAUAGUAUUCCAAUUCGGUAACAUUGUCAUUUGAGCCCCAACCUGGCCAAAGCACAGAGGGUUUUAGGAUCUGAUGUUGAGCAGGUGAAGUCAGUAGUACCAGUUCUGUAAAGGGAACUAAGCUUUCUAGACUUAGAGCUCACUCCUCUAAUUAUUCAUUGAAUGUUUGUGGAGGAAAGUGGACUGUGAUUUUUUACUUGGUUGCCUGUCUCUCUCCCUGCUCUUUGUCACGCUUCUGCUGUUAAAAGGAACUCAGAGAAGGCAAAUGAAAAAAUGAGCCUAGAGGAGCAGAACCCAAACCAAACUAAGUGAUUGCAAAUAUUCACAUUUCAGGUCUCAGUGUGGGAAUGAUCUUUAGAAAACUGUAGUGGACAUCUUUUGUCUUGUUUGACUAACACCCAUCUUUUCAUAUUGGGACAGUAGCCUCCCUUCUGUUUAAACACCGGUUCCCCCUCUCGAAUUGUGUGAUUCCUAUAGGGGCUAGAAAUCAUAGUAUCCCUCACUCUUGGCACAGAGGUAAUGUGUCACUCAAGCCAGGGCAAGGGGAGAUUUUGCAAAUUGGAAUUAAGAGAAAGGGUUCAAUCCUUCUCAGACAGCAAAACUGAGAUGGAGUCAGAAGCUAGUGGUAGCCAUGUCCUUUGUUGCACAAGGAAGACU